rnacentral:misc_RNA from 1 species
UUUUUUUUUUUGCAACUCUUUUAGGGACUACAUAAAUAACAUUGAAUUUUACAUUGCAAUUAUCCCUAUUUAAUCCACCCCCAAACUCAUUUCUUUAUAUACUUGGGUGGUAAAUAAUUUGUUUUUUGCAAUAUGAUAUGAUUGCUAGCCAAUUUUACUUUAGUACUUCUCCCAUUUGAUUAUUAUAUACCCUCUUUUUUUUGUAUCUAUCACUUAAACAGAUUAUUCUCAUGAAUGGUAGGCAAAUAUUUAGGUUUAUGGCUAGGUAAGUUAAGGGUGCCAAGG